AUUGAACACUGGCGGCAGGCCUAACACAUGCAAGUCGAGCGAGAGGCGGAAGGGUGAGUAAUGUAUGGGGACUGCCCGAUAGAGGGGGAUAACUACUGGAAACGGUGGCUAAUACCGCAUACUAUAGGCUAACCAAUAUGGGAUUAGCUAGUAGGUGGGGUAAAGGCUCACCUGGGCGACGAUCCCUAGCGGGUCCGAGAGGAUGACCAGCCACACGGGGAUUGAGACACUGCCCAGACUCCUACGGAGGCAGCAGUGGGGAAUAUUGCGCACUGGGGGCAACCCUGACGCAGCCAUGCCGCGGGAAUGAAGAAGGCCUUAGGGUUGUAAAGUACUUUCAGCGGGGAGGCGUUACCCGCAGAAGAAGCACCGGCUAACUCCGUGCCAGCAGCCGCGGUAAUAC
rnacentral:rRNA from 1 species